GACGAACGCUGGCGGCGUGCCUAAUACAUGCAAGUAGAACGCAGUUGCGAACGGGUGAGUAACGCGUAGCUACCCUGCCUCAUAGCGGGGGAUAACUAUUGGAAACGAUAGCUAAUACCGCAUACUGUGAGAUGGACCUGCGUUGUAUUAGCUAGUUGGUGAGGUAAAGGCUCACCAAGGCGACGAGACAUAGCCGACCUGAGAGGGGGAGCGGGCACACUGUGACUUAGACACGGCCCAAAGACCUACGGGAGGCAGCAGUAGGGAAUCUUCGGGAAUGGAGGGAAGACUGACCGAGCAACGCGGCGUGAGUGAAGAAGGGUUUCGGGUCGUAAAGCGCUGUUGUUAGUGAAACGGUAACUAACCAGAAAGGGACGGCUAACUACGUGCCAGCAGCCGCGGUAAUAC
rnacentral:rRNA from 1 species